AACGAACGCUGGCGGCAGGCCUAACACAUGCAAGUCGAACGCCGUAGCAAUACGGAGUGGCAGACGGGUGAGUAACACGUGGGAACGUACCCUUCGGUUCGGGAUAACUCAGGGAAACUUGAGCUAAUACCGGAUACGUCCGAGAGGAGAAAGAUUUAUUGCCGAGGGAUCGGCCCGCGUCUGAUUAGCUUGUUGGUGAGGUAACGGCUCACCAAGGCGACGAUCAGUAGCUGGUCNGAGAGGAUGAUCAGCCACAUUGGGACUGAGACACGGCCCAAACUCCUACGGGAGGCAGCAGUGGGGAAUAUUGGACAAUGGGGGAAACCCUGAUCCAGCAAUGCCGCGUGAGUGAUGAAGG
rnacentral:rRNA from 1 species